rnacentral:rRNA from 1 species
UACGGAGGGUGCAAGCGUUAUCCGGAUUUACUGGGUUUAAAGGGUGUGUAGGCGGGUCUUUAAGUCAGUGGUGAAAUCUCCGAGCUCAACUUGGAAACUGCCAUUGAUACUAUUGAUCUUGAAUUUUGUUGAGGUAGGCGGAAUAAGUCAUGUAGCGGUGAAAUGACAUAGAUAUGACUUAGAACACCAAUUGCGAAGGCAGCUUGCUAAACAAUAUUGACGCUGAGGCACGAAAGCGUGGGGAUCAAACAGG